GACGAACGCUGGCGGCGUGCCUAAUACAUGCAAGUUGAGCGCUGAAGGUUGGUACUUGUACCGACUGGAUGAGCAGCGAACGGGUGAGUAACGCGUGGGGAAUCUGCCUUUGAGCGGGGGACAACAUUUGGAAACGAAUGCUAAUACCGCAUAAAAACUUUAAACACAAGUUUUAAGUUUGAAAGAUGCAAUUGCAUCACUCAAAGAUGAUCCCGCGUUGUAUUAGCUAGUUGGUGAGGUAAAGGCUCACCAAGGCGAUGUUACAUAGCCGACCUGAGAGGGUGAUCGGCCACAUUGGGACUGAGACACGGCCCAAACUCCUACGGGAGGCAGCAGUAGGGAAUCUUCGGCAAUGGACGAAAGUCUGACCGAGCAACGCCGCGUGAGUGAAGAAGGUUUUCGGAUCGUAAAACUCUGUUGGUAGAGAAGAACGUUGGUGAGAGUGGAAAGCUCAUCAAGUGACGGUAACUACCCAGAAAGGGACGGCUAACUACGUG
rnacentral:rRNA from 1 species